UCGGGAAAGGGCUCCCGGCACUCGGGGCACGCCUUUCCGCAGCGGUCCCACCAGUCCCGGAUGCAGGCCCCGCAGAAGUUGUGGCCGCAGGGCAGCGUCACUGGGUCCUGGUAGAGCCCCAGGCAGAUGGCGCAGCUGGGCUGAUGUUGAGGCGACACGAGCUCUCACUGCUGCAGCAAGCACUGCGUCCUCUGUGCGGCCAUAGGCGAAGUUUCUUUCUGACAAAGUGCACGGAUCUAUCCUCCACCUACUAGUUAACCAGACUUCUGCUUUUGGUAAGGGAGAAACAAAACACCUAACCUUCCAGUCGCGAGGCUCCAUGGGCUUUCUGACCCUGAGCAGGUCUCUUGAGACACGCUGUUGCCUACCUAACGUGGCUUCUCCUCCCAAGCAUGGGGUGGGGGCUGGAACCUGCGCAGAGGGUCAGUGCUCGGGCAGGCACUCUCUCUCCAGGGUCCGGUGGGACCCCCCUGGGGCACAGAGCCAGUGAUCAAUAAAUGCUCCCUCCUGAGCCCAGCUGCUCUGCUCCACUUUUUCGGGGAGCUGGGUUUCAGGAACCUGCUGGAUUGGGAUGUCUCCCUUCUCUGGACCACACCUGUUUUUGGCCCACUGCCUGCUUUUGCUUCGGAUCCCAGGGCCCCUGACACCCUCAGAAGACGGAAGCAGGGUCUCAUUAUGUUGCCGGCUGGUCUUGAACUCCUGGGCUCAAGCGAUCCUCCCUCCUCAGCCUCCCAGUGUUGGAAUUACAGGGCAGGCAAGGCCUGGGAGCUCAGGCCCACCCAGUGCCCCAGCCCCAUGGCCCUUACCCAGAAGCUGGUGGAAGAUGUAGGUUACGGAGUCAUCCCAGCGGCACUGGAAGAAGGACAAGCCGGCUGGAGUCAUGGCUUCUUGGUAUUUCUUGUAGAAAUCAAAAGUGCGGAAGGUCCGCUGGGCCAGCUGAUAGCUAUGAGAAGAUGGAGAGCGUGUGAGAGUGGGGAGUGGGGCACCAGAGCCCCUCACCCCUCCACCCCAACAGGACAGAGGAGGCAGCCAAGCUCUGUGAACGCCUGGACAUACUGCAAACAUGGGAAGCGGGCUGGAGGAGCUCCGAGUGGGGGACAGGGCUUCAGAGAGCAUCAAUGUGACAGCAAGGCCAUGCAGCCUGCUUCCAGGCCCCGGGAACCAGGGGGUCCGCCACAGCCACUGAGGCUAGAAAGCCAUGCCACUUCUGGCUGCUUUUCUCUCUGCGUCCUGAAGUCUCCAGGAUCUCGUCAGGGAGUGUGUGCCCAGCCUGGCACAGGGGCGGCCAACGCCUCAGGCAGAACUCCCCGGAGGGUCCUGCGGCACAGGCUGAUAACUACAGUUGAAUAAAAAUGAC